rnacentral:rRNA from 1 species
CCCUUAGAUGUCCUGGGCCGCACGCGCGCUACACUGAGUGUCUGAGAUACGAGUCUGCCUGGUCCGGCAAGGUCUAGGUAAUCGCUAAAAGACACAUCAUGCUUGGGAUAGAUUAUUGCAAAUAUUAAUCUUGAACGAGGAAUUCCUAGUAAACGCGAGUCAUCAGCUCGCAUUGAUUACGUCCCUGCCCUUUGUACACACCGCCCGUCGCACCUACCGAUUGAAUGGUUCGGUGAAGAUCUCGGACUUCGAUAUUUAUUCUUUAUUGAGUUUAUAUUGUGGGAAGUUAUCUAAACCUCAUCAUUUAGAGGAAGGUGAAGUCGUAACA